rnacentral:rRNA from 1 species
CUACGGAGGAUCCGAGCGUUAUCCGGAUUUAUUGGGUUUAAAGGGUGCGCAGGCGGCCAUUUAAGUCAGCGGUUAAAUCGUGGGGCUCAACCCCAUUCUGCCGUUGAUACUGGGUGGCUUGAUUGCGGUCGAGGUUGGCGGAAUUCGUUGUGUAGCGGCGAAAUGCAUAGAUAUGACGAAGAACACCGACUGCGUAGGCAGCUGACCAGACCGCAAAUGACGCUCAUGCACGAAAGUGCGGGGAUCGAACAGGAUUAGAUACCCUGGUAGUCCGCACAGUAAACUAUGAAUACUGGUUUUCGGCGAUAUAAUGUCGGAGGCAAAGCGAAAGCGAUAAGUAUUCCACCUGGGGAGUACGCCGGCAACGGUGAAACGCAAAGGAAUUGACGGG